rnacentral:lncRNA from 1 species
GGGGUGAGGAGUUCUUCUUAGUGUCAAUCACAUUGAUGGAUCAAUCUUUGAUCAUUCAAAGUUUGUUAAGAGUCCAACUGCUUUUGAAUUUGAUUGUGUCAACUCUUUGACAUUAUCAAAUCUUUGACUUAUCAACCUUUGACAUGUCAAAUUUUUGACUCAGAUUUAAAUUGAGUCCCAUCAAAUUAAAUACAACUAUCUGAUCAGACACAAUCUUUUUUAUGUAUGACUACAUAGGUUC